rnacentral:rRNA from 1 species
AUCGAACGCUGGCGGCAGGCCUAACACAUGCAAGUCGAACGUGUGGCGGACGGGGGAGUAACGUCUGGGAAACUGACUCAUGGAGGGGGAAAACUACUGGAAAAGGUAGCAAAUACCGCAUACCAUCGGAUGUGCCCAGAGGGGCUUAGCUGUGUGGUGGGGUAACGGGUAACCAAGGCGACGAUCGCUAGCGGGUCUGCUAGGAUGACCAGCCAGACUGGACCUGAGACACGGUCCAGACUCCUACGUGAGGCAGCAGUGGGGAAUAUUGCACAUUGGGCGCAAGCCUGGUGCAGCCGUGCCUGGUGUAUGAAGAAGGCCUUCGGGUUGUAAAGUACUUUCAGCGGGGAGGCGUUACCCGCAGAAGAAGCACCGGCUAACUCCGUGCCAGCAGCCGCGGUAAUAC